AAAUUGAAGAGUUUGAUCAUGGCUCAGAUUGAACGCUGGCGGCAGGCCUAACACAUGCAAGUCGAACGGUAGCACAGAGAGCUUGCUCUCGGGUGACGAGUGGCGGACGGGUGAGUAAUGUCUGGGAAACUGCCUGAUGGAGGGGGAUAACUACUGGAAACGGUGGCUAAUACCGCAUAACGUCGCAAGACCAAAGAGGGGGACCUUCGGGCCUCUUGCCAUCAGAUGUGCCCAGAUGGGAUUAGCUAGUUGGUGAGGUAACGGCUCACCAAGGCGACGAUCCCUAGCUGGUCUGAGAGGAUGACCAGCCACACUGGAACUGAGACACGGUCCAGACUCCUACGGGAGGCAGCAGUGGGGAAUAUUGCACAAUGGGCGCAAGCCUGAUGCAGCCAUGCCGCGUGUAUGAAGAAGGCCUUCGGGUUGUAAAGUACUU
rnacentral:rRNA from 1 species